CCUACGGGAGGCAGCAGUGAGGAAUAUUGGUCAAUGGGCGUAAGCCUGAACCAGCCAAGUCGCGUGAGGGAUGAAGGUUCUAUGGAUCGUAAACCUCUUUUAUCAGGGAGUAAAGUGCGGGACGUGUCCCGUUUUGCAUGUACCUUAUGAAUAAGCAUCGGCUAACUCCGUGCCAGCAGCCGCGGUAAUACGGAGGAUCCGAGCGUUAUCCGGAUUUAUUGGGUUUAAAGGGUGCGUAGGCGGCCUUUUAAGUCAGCGGUGAAAGUCUGUGGCUCAACCCUGGAAGUGCCGUUGAAACUGGGGGCCUUGAGUGUGUUGGAGGCAUGCGGAAUGCGCGGUGUAGCGGUGAAAUGCUUAGAUAUCGCGCAGAACCCCGAUUGCGAAGGCAGCCUGCCAAGCCAUGACUGACGCUGAUGCACGAAAGCGUGGGGAUCGAACAGGAUUAGAUACCCCUGUAGUC
rnacentral:rRNA from 1 species